CCUACGGGCGGCUGCAGUGGGGAAUAUUGCACAAUGGGCGCAAGCCUGAUGCAGCCAUGCCGCGUGUGUGAAGAAGGCCUUCGGGUUGUAAAGCACUUUCAGCGGGGAGGAAGGCGGUGAGGUUAAUAACCUCAUCGAUUGACGUUACCCGCAGAAGAAGCACCGGCUAACUCCGUGCCAGCAGCCGCGGUAAUACGGAGGGUGCAAGCGUUAAUCGGAAUUACUGGGCGUAAAGCGCACGCAGGCGGUCGUCAAGUCGGAUGUGAAAUCCCCGGGCUCAACCUGGGAACUGCAUUCGAAACUGGCAGGCUAGAGUCUUGUAGAGGGGGGUAGAAUUCCAGGUGUAGCGGUGAAAUGCGUAGAGAUCUGGAGGAAUACCGGUGGCGAAGGCGGCCCCCUGGACAAAGACUGACGCUCAGGUGCGAAAGCGUGGGGAGCAAACAGGAUUAGAUACCCGUGUAGUC
rnacentral:rRNA from 1 species